rnacentral:rRNA from 1 species
GACGAACGCUGGCGGCGUGCUUAACACAUGCAAGUCGAACGCUGAAGCUCAGCUUUUGUUGGGUGGAUGAGUGGCGAACGGGUGAGUAACACGUGAGUAACCUGCCCCCUUCUUUGGGAUAACGCCCGGAAACGGGUGCUAAUACUGGAUAUUCACUGGUCUUCGCAUGGGGGUUGGUGGAAAGGGUUUUUCUGGUGGGGGAUGGGCUCGCGGCCUAUCAGCUUGUUGGUGGGGUGAUGGCCUACCAAGGCUUUGACGGGUUGCCAGCCUGAGAGGGUACCCUGUCACAUUGAGACGGAGCAACCGCCCAGGCUCCUACGCGGGGCAGCAUUGGGGACUAUUGCACAAUGGGCGCAAGCCUCAUGCCGCGUCGGUGCGUGAGGCAUGGAGGUCUUCGGGUUGUGAACCUCUUUCGCUCAUGGUCCAGCCGCAACAAUGGUUGUGGUGAGGGUAGUGGGUAAAGAAGCGCCGGCUAACUACGUG